rnacentral:rRNA from 1 species
GGGGAAUAUUGGACAAUGGGCGAAAGCCUGAUCCAGCCAUGCCGCGUGAAUGAUGAAGGCCUUAGGGUUGUAAAAUUCUUUCAACGGGGACGAUAAUGACGGUACCCGUAGAAGAAGCCCCGGCUAACUUCGUGCCAGCAGCCGCGGUAAUACGAAGGGGGCUAGCGUUGUUCGGAAUUACUGGGCGUAAAGCGCACGUAGGCGGACUGAUUAGUUGGUGGUGAAAUCCCAGGGCUCAACCUUGGAACUGCCAUCAAUACUGUCAGUCUGGAGCAGAGUAGAGGUUAGUGGAAUUCCAAGUGUAGAGGUGAAAUUCGUAGAUAUUUGGAGGAACACCAGUGGCGAAGGCGACUGACUGGACUCUUGCUGACGCUGAGGUGCGAAAGCGUGGGGAGCAAAC